rnacentral:rRNA from 1 species
GUCGAGAAUCUUUCACAAUGGGGGCAACCCUGAUGGAGCGACGCCGCGUGGAGGAUAAGGUCUUUGGAUUGUAAACUCCUGUCAUGCGUGAACAAGGUUGCUUGGUUAAUACCUGGGCAAAUUGAUGGUAACGCAAGAGGAAGAGACGGCUAACUCUGUGCCAGCAGCCGCGGUAAUACAGAGGUCUCAAGCGUUGUUCGGAAUCACUGGGCGUAAAGGGUGCGUAGGUGGCGUGGUAAGUCAGAUGUGAAAGCCCGGGGCUCAACCUCGGAACUGCAUCCGAUACUGCCAUGCUAGAGUACUGGAGAGGUGACUAGAAUUCUCGGUGUAGCAGUGAAAUGCGUAGAUAUCGAGAGGAAUACCAAAGGCGUAGGCAGGUCACUGGACAGUUACUGACACUGAGGCACGAAGGCCAGGGGAGCGAACGGGAUUAGAUAUCCCGGUAGUCC